rnacentral:rRNA from 1 species
UACAGAGGUCUCAAGCGUUGUUCGGAUUCAUUGGGCGUAAAGGGUGUGUAGGCGGCGCCGUAAGUCGGGUGUGAAAUUUCGGAGCUUAACUCCGAAACUGCAUUCGAUACUGCGGUGCUUGAGGACUGGAGAGGAGACUGGAAUUCGUGGUGUAGCAGUGAAAUGCGUAGAGAUCAUGAGGAAGACCAGUGGCGAAGGCGGGUCUCUGGACAGUUCCUGACACUGAGACACGAAGGCCAGGGGAGCAAACGGG